AUUGAACGCUGGCGGCAGGCCUAACACAUGCAAGUCGAGCGGAUGAAGGGAGCUUGCUCCUGGAUUCAGCGGCGGACGGGUGAGUAAUGCCUAGGAAUCUGCCUGGUAGUGGGGGAUAACGUCCGGAAACGGGCGCUAAUACCGCAUACGUCCUGAGGGAGAAAGUGGGGGAUCUUCGGACCUCACGCUAUCAGAUGAGCCUAGGUCGGAUUAGCUAGUUGGUGGGGUAAAGGCCUACCAAGGCGACGAUCCGUAACUGGUCUGAGAGGAUGAUCAGUCACACUGGAACUGAGACACGGUCCAGACUCCUACGGGAGGCAGCAGUGGGGAAUAUUGGACAAUGGGCGAAAGCCUGAUCCAGCCAUGCCGCGUGUGUGAAGAAGGUCCUCGGAUUGUAAAGCACUUUAAGUUGGGAGGAAGGGCAGUAAGUUAAUACCUUGCUGUUUUGUCGUUACCAACAGAAUAAGCACCGGCUAACUUCGUG
rnacentral:rRNA from 1 species